AAGACAAGCUUUCCUAGCAACAAUUCAAACUCAAUAUAUUUAGUGCCCACUUUAACCUUUCGAAGUAACUUCCGCCCAAAACCAUCUUAAUAUUUUUAUAAUAUUAACCAUAUUUACGGCAACCACAAUCAUUUCAAAUCUACUCAAUCAUUUUCCAAUUUUCAUCCACAUUAUUCCCCCUUAUUUCUUUCAAUUAAUAUAACAUGCAACUUAACACUUCCAACUAAUUUAUGUAAA
rnacentral:lncRNA from 1 species